UACAGAGGUCCCGAGCGUUGUUCGGAUUUACUGGGCGUAAAGGGCGCGUAGGUGGUGAGGUAAGUCUGAUGUGAAAUCUCCGAGCUUAACUCGGAAAUGGCAUUGGAAACUACCUUGCUAGAGGGUUGGAGGGGGGACUGGAAUACUUGGUGUAGCAGUGAAAUGCGUAGAUAUCAAGUGGAACACCAGUGGCGAAGGCGAGUCCCUGGACAACUCCUGACACUGAGGCACGAAAGCUAGGGGAGCAAACAGG
rnacentral:rRNA from 1 species